rnacentral:rRNA from 1 species
CCUACGGGAGGCAGCAGUGAGGAAUAUUGGGCAAUGGGCUAGAGCCUGACCCAGCCAAGUCGCGUGAAGGAUGACGGCCCUACGGUUUGUAAACUUCGUUUGUCAGGGAGAAAUAGAGUCCACGUGUGGGCUUAGCGAGAGUACCUGAAGAAAAAGCAUCGGCUAACUCCGUGCAAGCAGCCGCGGUAAUACGGAGGAUGCGAGCGUUAUACGGAUUUAUGGGGGUGAAAGGGUGCGUAGGCGGAAUAUCAAGUCAGCGGUAAAAAUUCGGGGCUCAACCCCGUCGUGCCGUUGAAACUGAUGUUCUUGAGUGGGCGAGAAGUAUGCGGAAUGCGUGGUGUAGCGGUGAAAUGCAUAGAUAUUACGCAGAACUCCGAUUGCGAAGGCAGCAUACCGGCGCCCAACUGACGCUGAAGCACGAAAGCGUGGGUAGCGAACAGGAGUAGAUACCCGGGUAGUC